rnacentral:rRNA from 1 species
UACGAAGGGGGCUAGCGUUGCUCGGAAUCACUGGGCGUAAAGGGUGCGUAGGCGGGUUUUUAAGUCAGGGGUGAAAUCCUGGAGCUCAACUCCAGAACUGCCUUUGAUACUGAGAGGCUUGAGUCCGGGAGAGGUGAGUGGAACUGCGAGUGUAGAGGUGAAAUUCGUAGAUAUUCGCAAGAACACCAGUGGCGAAGGCGGCUCACUGGCCCGGUACUGACGCUGAGGUGCGAAAGCGUGGGGAGCAAACAGG